CAUCAUGCUGCCAGUUUGAAGCUAAGCCUCUGACAUAGCCCAGUACAGUCUGUUGGGCUGUUGGAAAGCUUGACCCAGAGCUCUCUCUCAAACAGAAAUGUUUGCUCUGCUUCAGCCCCGCAGCAUCUCCUGCUAUUGCAUUGCCCUAUCUCCACUGCCUGACAGGCAGCAGCAGUACAGGAGAUUUAAAAAAGAAAUUCCACAUCUGCAGCUUCCAUUGUCCAGUUCCCUUCCUGCCUCUGAGAGAAACGUAACUGCUGCAAGAAGAAAAAAAAAGAAACCAUUUCCUUUUCUUUGUUCUCCAACAGAAAAACAGGCUAUUGAGCACGCUUGCAGUUGUGGAGACGGGAAACUCUGAGAGAUGAAGCUAAUGUGGCAUCUUGAUGAGGCCAAAGUUCGAUACCAUCUCCCUAAAUGUAGGGAAAUGCUAUAGCCACAGAGCACCCUCCGUCCUGGCAUUUACUUUGAUCCUUGCAAAUGAGCUCCUGUGCUCAUGAGCAACCCUCUCCCACCCAAACUUCAGCAACCUUCUCUGCACUCUACUUCUUACAGAAAUGCUGUCAGGGGAGCAACGUUUGAAAUAAGCCUGAUACUGUCAAUCUUCAAGCACUACGUGCAUGAUGAGGACAUUCAUGCAGCAAAUAAGUUACAUAAGGCAGGUCAAUGUGUAAAACUCAUGCUUUAUGAAAUGAGCUAAUGCUAAACUGUUCAGGAGCAGGAAAACUCCCCUUCAGACAGCCUGCCUCAUCGUUUUUUCCAUCAGAAUGACUGUUUUGUUUUCCUGAAGCAUCCAGAGCCAGCAGGCCUCCCGCUGGGUAUCAUCAGCACGAAGCCCAGCUCUGCAGCAGCCAGCAGCAAGGUCCCAGUAAAACUGAACCCGGGGUUUCUGAUUUACUUUGUCAAAGGUGUGAAAAACUCAAGAAGUCACCACUGAGGAGGAAGGUGGUCGACUCUGCUUGGCGAAUACAUGUUGCAUUGAUUUCACAAGCACAGUAAAAGUGCCUGCUGGGAGGAAAGGAGUUAAAGGUUUUGACUUGCUGUUUCACAGUGCCAUCCAGUGGCUAUUUUCAACGACUGCAGAAUGAAAUCGGGAAGACAUGGAGCACAGUUACUGAAGAUGUCUAUGUGUACUAAGAAUUUCAGAUCUGAUUCAAAUAAAACCUAGGUCUUAAGAGUGAAAUUCCAUUAAAUUAAUUAACUGUAGUUUAGAUGUGUUGGUUUUAAUACUUAAUUUUUAUUGCAAAAGUUUACUUUUCAAUAUUAUUUGUAUUGGUAUUAAAAAUUUGAUUUAAAACAAAACUAAGUAUCCUGUAAAAUCAUAAUCCACUAAGGCACAGUCUCUUCACAAAUAAGUUAGCAGUGUCUGAAAACUGAACUGGUGCUAAAAAAAACCUCAUUAGGAAAUCCUUAAUGUAAAUGUUAAAGAUUUGGUUUGGAAUUUCAAGGUUGGUUUGUUUGUUUGUUUCCUGUGGGGUCUUGUGUGUGUUUAUUGUCACUUCAAUUGGUUGAAUCUUAUAUAUUGUUUGUGUCAUCAGCUUACAGAAUUUAUAGAGUACUUUGGAAAUGUUAUAAUGUGUUCACCAAACAUGACUGCAUAAACUUUAUGUGCUGACUUGCUUGUUUUAUAACUGGCAUGUUUUCAGUCAUUCUUUGACUGAGCAACUUUCGGUCUUCUGUAGUUCCUGAUAUUUUAUCAGAAAUCAUACACUGAUUCCUAUUUUUCCUGCUCCUUUCUUGUAUUUACAAAGGAUCCUUCAAAGUAAAUAAAUAAGUAAAAAUGUUUA